ACCCUGAAAACACUGGUUCCUGUUCAAUCACUGAAGUUAAGCAAUACUGAGCCCAGUUGGUACUUAGAUGGGGAACCACUUGAGAACACUGUAUACUGUAA